rnacentral:rRNA from 1 species
CAGCCGCCACGGGAAUACGUAGGUGGCAAGCGUUGUCCGGAAUUAUUGGGCGUAAAAGGCUCGCAGGCGGUUUCUUAAGUCUGAUGUGAAAGCCCCCGGCUCAACCGGGGAGGGUCAUUGGAAACUGGGAAACUUGAGUGCAGAAGAGGAGAGUGGAAUUCCACGUGUAGCGGUGAAAUGCGUAGAGAUGUGGAGGAACACCAGUGGCGAAGGCGACUCUCUGGUCUGUAACUGACGCUGAGGAGCGAAAGCGUGGGGAGCGAACAGGAUUAGAUACCCCAGUAGUCCCUGUCUCUUAUAC